GGGAGCCUGAUGUGGGGCUCAAUCCCAGUGGGAUCACAACCUGAGCCGAAGGCAGACACUUAACCGACUGAGCCACCCAGAGAGAGAGAGAGAAGGUAAGGAGGGGCCGCAGGACAGGGAGAGAGAGUCUCAAGCGGACUCCACGUCCAGAAAGGAGCCUGACACGGGGCUCGAUCUCACCACCCUGAGGAUCAUGACCUGAGCUGAAAUCAAGAGUCAGACGCUGAACCCACUGACCCACCCAAGCAUUCCUCAAGCUAUCUCUCUUUAUAUCUGACGAAUUGGUUCUCAACCUUGUGGAGGCUGGCAAGUCCAAGAUUUACUAAGUGGCUGAGUGGGCCGGCAGGCUAGACACCCAGGGAAGAGCCAAUGUGGCAGUUCAAGUUUGAAGACCAUCAAGCAAGACUAUCAAGCAAGCCAUUAAGCAAUGCCAUCCUUCUCGCCUGGGAAAGCAAGCUGUCACUGCCUGAGGGAAGCACACCCGUGUGUGGUGCCACACGCAGCCGAUGACCUUUGCAUUCACCGCAACAACUGAAGCUCUAGAAACGGUCCACCAGUAUAAGGUGAACUAAAGAUUGUGAUGGUGGUUUGUCUUGUUCCUGAUUUGAAUGGGACUACUUCUAAAAUUUUACCAAGAGAGAGAGCGCACAAGUAGGCAGAGUGGCAGGCAGAUGGAGAGGGAGAAGCAGGCUCUCCGCUGAGCAGGGAGCUGGAUGUGGGGCUCGAUCCCAAGACCCCAGGAUCAUGACCUGAGACGAAGGCAGCUGCUUAACGGACUGAGCCACCCAGGCGCCCCUACAUAGUUUUUUUUUAAUCAAGUUAAGCUGGCUACUUUCUGAUCCUAGGUAAGUACUUCCUGUUGUUAUAUAAAAAAAUCAUGAGCAGAUUGUUAUAUUUUAACAGAUACAUUUUCAUACCCCUAUUAAAAAUAUUUCUCACUAACGGGGC